AGUAACGCGUAUGCAACCUGCCCGAUACCGGGGUAUAGCCCAUGGAAACGUGGAUUAACACCCCAUAGUACUUUUAUCCUGCAUGGGAUGUGAGUUAAAUGUUUAAGGUAUCGGAUGGGCAUGCGUCCUAUUAGUUAGUUGGCGGGGUAACAGCCCACCAAGACGAUGAUAGGUAGGGGUUCUGAGAGGAAGGUCCCCCACAUUGGAACUGAGACACGGUCCAAACUCCUACGGGAGGCAGCAGUGAGGAAUAUUGGUCAAUGGACGUAAGUCUGAACCAGCCAAGUCGCGUGAGGGAAGACUGCCCUAUGGGUUGUAAACCUCUUUUAUAAGGGAAGAAUAAGUUCUACGUGUAGAAUGAUGCCUGUACCUUAUGAAUAAGCAUCGGCUAACUCCGUGCCAGCAGCCGCGGUAAUACGGAGGAUGCGAGCGUUAUCCGGAUUUAUUGGGUUUAAAGGGUGCGUAGGCGGUUUAUUAAGUUAGUGGUUAAAUAUUUGAGCUAAACUCAAUUGUGCCAUUAAUACUGGUAAACUGGAGUACAGACGAGGUAGGCGGAAUAAGUUAAGUAGCGGUGAAAUGCAUAGAUAUAACUUAGAACUCCGAUAGCGAAGGCAGCUUACCAGACUGUAACUGACGCUGAUGCACGAGAGCGUGGGUAGCGAACAGGAUUAGAUACCCUGGUAGUCCACGCCGUAAACGAUGCUCACUGGUUCUGUGCGAUAUAUUGUACGGGAUUAAGCGAAAGUAUUAAGUGAGCCACCUGGGGAGUACGUCGGCAACGAUGAAACUCAAAGGAAUUGACGGGGGCCCGCACAAGCGGAGGAACAUGUGGUUUAAUUCGAUGAUACGCGAGGAACCUUACCUGGGUUUAAAUGGGAAAUGCCGUAUUUGGAAACAGAUAUUCUCUUCGGAGCGUUUUUCAAGGUGCUGCAUGGUUGUCGUCAGCUCGUGCCGUG
rnacentral:rRNA from 1 species